rnacentral:tRNA from 1 species
GUAAAAAUGCCAGAAAAUUUUAUGGGUUUGGUUUAGGACUAAAUUAUGUUCAUUCAAGAACUUUUUAUU